AGCUUGCUAAGUUUGAUGGCGACCGGCGCACGGGUGAGUAACACGUAUCCAACCUUCCGUUUACNAGGGAUAGCCUUUCGAAAGAAAGAUUAAUACCUGAUAGUAUGGUGAGAUUGCAUGAUAACACCAUUUAAAGAUUUAUCGGUGAUGGAUGGGGAUGCGUCUGAUUAGCUUGUUGGCGGGUAACGGCCCACCAAGGCAACGAUGGAUAGGGGUUCUGAGAGGAAGGUCCCCCACACUGGUACUGAGACACGGACCAGACUCCUACGGGAGGCAGCAGUGAGGAAUAUUGGUCAAUGGGCGAGAGCCUGAACCAGCCAAGUCGCGUGGAGGAAGACUGCCCUACGGGUUGUAAACUCCUUUUACCUGGGAAUAACGGGCGCUACGCGUAGCGCUGUGCAUGUACCGGGAGAAUAAGCAUCGGCUAAUUCCGUG
rnacentral:rRNA from 1 species